rnacentral:siRNA from 1 species
AGCGGGCUGCAGCUUGUUGAUAGU